UACGUAGGGUGCAAGCGUUAAUCGGAAUUACUGGGCGUAAAGCGUGCGCAGGCGGUUUUGUAAGACUGUCGUGAAAUCCCCGGGCUUAACCUGGGAAUGGCGAUGGUGACUGCAAGGCUAGAGUUUGGCAGAGGGGGGUAGAAUUCCACGUGUAGCAGUGAAAUGCAUAGAUAUGUGGAGGAACACCGAUGGCGAAGGCAGCCCCCUGGGUCAAAACUGACGCUCAUGCACGAAAGCGUGGGGAGCAAACAGG
rnacentral:rRNA from 1 species